rnacentral:tRNA from 2 species
GCCGGUGUAGCUCAGGGGUAGAGCGAGGGUCUCAUAAUCCCUAGGUCGUGGGUUCGAGUCCCACCGCCGGCACCA